UAUAUUUAUUUGAAAUUUGUCAUAGAAUCGCAAUCAUCAUUAUUGCUAUUGUUUAAACUGAGAAUCUAUUCUUCUGUAAGAAUGUAUGAAGCUAUAUUUAAUGUUAUCUCUUUGGUUGUUGUGUAAACUUAAUUUAUUUUGUUCCUCGCUUCACCCAAUAGUGCUUGUAAGGAAACAAUGCAUUCCAUCAACUAAGACUGAGUAGUAUUGCCAAAAAGAACUACCUACAAAAUUUUGCGAUUAAAUCGUAUGACCGAAAAACGAACAAAAAAAUAACAACCUACAAAAUAUAUUAACACUCUUUUUUGUUUGCGUGAAAUUGGUCUAAACUCAUAUCUCGAUGAGUUAAGAAUUUCGAAAUUGAGAACGCUAAGAAUCGAAUGAUAGCGCAAGAAAUGCAGAGGAAGAAGCCCAUGAAGUUUUAUGAGGUUAUUUUAAUUUUUUACUUCGUUUCAAGCUUGGAAUGUAUAUUUUACUUUACUUGUAGUUUGGUUUCAAUCAUCAAAAUAACUGCAAAGACAUGAGAAUUGCUAAUUUUUCGGUACAAUAAACGACAUCUAACAACUAUUUGGGUUGCAAUUAUUAUUAUAAAUCCAGCCGUAACUAACUAGUGUCAAGAAUUUCUGCUCGAUCUAAGGGCUUCAGGAGGCUUCUUUGUAUUUCAAAGAGCUCUUUGUUUCGCCAAAACAAUAUUGUGAUUCAAUUAAUAACCUCAACAUUUCACUGUUCAAUUCAAAGUGUAAAAUGGAUACAAGAAGAAUCCUCUCGUUUUGGUGAAGACAUAACAUUAUUUUUUAAAUGAAGAGAUACAGUAAUCACGUUUAUGUAAUUGAGUUUGGAGUACCUAAUUGAAAAUAACUAAAAUGACAAUCAAAGAAAUGAUUUGAACAGAUGAACCGACACAUGUAAGGACAAUUCCGUCAUGAAGCUUGCAAAUGUCCUGAUUUAAUAACAGAUCUUCACUGAACACGUCUUUGGUCUGUUUUCUGUAAUGAAAAUUGAUUUCUUCUAAAGAUACUUACAUGCUUAUUGAAAACUGUAGCCCGGCAACCCAAAAAGGAUCUCGAUUUCCGCCAUCAGAAACCUCCAUUUGUUCCACCUCUCUUCUGCACUCUUGGACUACGGAGGCGAUCUUCUUUAUUUUCUAACUUCGUCAAAUUUAGAGCAUCUAGCAAGUUCGUCUGGACGUUUUUCGCUCAAAUAAGAAACAAAUGUGCAUGUGUGGCCGAGUGAGAAAAAUCUAAAAGUUAGUUAUACUCCUACAUCAUUCGGAUAUGAUAAUAGUUCCUCAAUCUUUUUGUUUUUAUCUUUUAUCUUUCUUUCCAAUCUGUCCCCGAAUUUUUCUUUGCCUUUUUAGACAAACAAGCUUACAACCUGAUAGUGAGCGAAUACCGUUGCCUAUGGACGUCAGCAAUACCAGGGGCAGAGCCAAGCCGCUGCCUGCCGCCAGAUGGUCUUCGCUACUAAUGGUUGAAUUCCUCCUUAGUAGUAUUUCUAAUCAUAAUUAUACUAAUCUGUAAUGUAGAAUAAUUAUGAUAAGAGAAAACCUAGAGUUUUAAUGCCGUGUUUCGUCAGCAAUAAAAAUUGUUUUUCAUAUUCUAAAAUACAUAUUUGUAUUCAAUUCAAUAAUAUUGUGAUAUUUUACAACGUAAAAUUAUAUUAUUUAACCGAGUUUCCAGAUUUUCAUCAAAUUUCGUAAACAAUUAAUGACUUCAGAGCGAUACUUUGUCACCCGUAGCGCGCUUUGUUACCCUAAAACAAUAUUGUGAUUCGAUUAAUGAUCUCAAUAUUUUACUGUCUAACUUCAUCUGAAGAAUGGAUUCGGUAAUCUGACUUUCCUGCUGUUUUUUUGGUUUAUAAUAAACAACAUUUCCGCAUAUUUUCGAAGUA